GGAGUUAGGCAGGUUAGGGGACUCGGAGACUGCGAUGGUGCCAGGAAAGGGUGGAGCGGAUUAUAUUCUCCUGCCUUUUGAAAAGAUGGACUUCAGCAGAAAUCUUUAUGAUAUUGGGGAACAACUGGACAGUGAAGAUCUGGCCUCCCUCAAGUUCCUGAGCCUGGACUACAUUCCACAAAGGAAGCAAGAACCCAUCAAGGAUGCCUUGAUGUUAUUCCAGAGGCUCCAGGAAAAGAGAAUGUUGGAGGAGAGCAAUCUGUCCUUCCUGAAGGAGCUGCUCUUCCGAAUUAAUAGACUGGAUUUGCUGAUUACGUACCUAAACACUAGAAAGGAGGAGAUGGAAAGGGAACUUCAGACACCAGGCAGGGCUCAGAUUUCUGCCUACAGGGUCAUGCUGUAUCAGAUUUCAGAAGAAGUGAGCAGAUCAGAAUUGAGGUGUUUUAAGUUUCUUUUGCAAGAGGAAAUCUCCAAAUGCAAACUGGAUGAUGACAUGAACCUGCUGGAUAUUUUCAUAGAGAUGGAGAAGAGGGUCAUCCUGGGAAAAGGAAAGUUGGACAUCCUGAAAAGAGUCUGUGCCCAAAUCAACAAGAGCCUGCUGAAGAUAAUCAACGACUAUGAAGAAUUCAGCAGAGAGAGAAGAAGCAGCCUUGAAGGAAGUCCUGAUGAAUUUUCAAAUGGGGAGGAGUUGUGUGGGGUAAUGACAAUCUCGGACUCUCCAAGAGAACAGGAUAGUGAAUCACAGACUUUGGACAAAGUUUACCAAAUGAAAAGCAAACCUCGGGGAUACUGUCUGAUCAUCAACAAUCACAAUUUUGCAAAAGCACGGGAGAAAGUGCCCAAACUUCACAGCAUUAGGGACAGGAAUGGAACACACUUGGAUGCAGGUACAGUAGAACCCAAAAGAGAAAAGUGAAAUAUUUCUUAUGCCUAUUUUUUUUUAAAUCAAAAGGGAGAGAACAAAAACUAUACCAAAAGGGCCAUGUUUCAAGAAAAUGGAUUGAAACAUAUUUCCCUGUGGAGGGGCUUUGACCACGACCUUUGAAGAGCUUCAUUUUGAGAUCAAGCCCCACAAUGACUGCACAGUGGAGCAAAUCUAUGAGAUUUUGAAAAUCUACCAACUCAUGGACCACAGUAACAUGGACUGCUUCAUCUGCUGUAUCCUCUCCCAUGGAGACAAGGGCAUCAUCUACGGCACUGAUGGACAGGAGGCCCCCAUCUAUGAGCUGACAUCUCAGUUCACUGGUUUGAAGUGCCCUUCUCUUGCUGGAAAACCCAAAGUGUUUUUUAUUCAGGCUUGUCAGGGGGAUAACUACCAGAAAGGUAUACCUGUUGAGACUGAUUCAGAGGGGCAACCCUAUUUAGAAAUGGAUUUAUCAUCACCUCAAACGAGAUAUAUCCCGGAUGAGGCUGACUUUCUGCUGGGGAUGGCCACUGUGAAUAACUGUGUUUCCUACCGAAACCCUGCAGAGGGAACCUGGUACAUCCAGUCACUUUGCCAGAGCCUGAAAGAGCGAUGUCCUCGAGGCGAUGAUAUUCUCACCAUCCUGACUGAAGUGAACUAUGAAGUAAGCAACAAGGAUGACAAGAAAAACAUGGGGAAACAGAUGCCGCAGCCUACUUUCACACUAAGAAAAAAACUUGUCUUCCCUUCUGAUUGAUGGCGCUAUUUUUUUGUUUGUUUGUUUGUUUUGUUUUUUUGAGACAGAAUCUCGCUCUGUCGC
rnacentral:sRNA from 1 species